CACCUGGAAUUAAAAAAAAUGAACUGUAGUUUAAAAUAAUAUUCUAUUAUCAUUAUUAUUCGUUACUGUUUCACUCGUCAAAAUAUUACUAAGUUUUUAUGAUCCUGCUUUUGUGUGUAUGAAAAUGGAAUCUUGUACUUGAAUCUUGUACUAUCUGACUAGCUACAGCACUCAAAUCUCGUUUGGAGCUAUGCACAAUUAACAACGUAAGUUUCAAUUGUUCCUUAACCACUACAAGCAGAAUUUUCGACAUAUGAAAUUGAUAUCAUGAUUACCCUCAGGCCAAACUUCCAACCACUUUUCGACUAGCUAGAGCACCCAGAUUUUAACUGGAGUUCUAUGCUGGAUGACAUCGCGAGUUUCAACCCUUUCCCGAUGAUCACCAAGAGCAUAAUUUAUCGAUACAUUAUCGCAAAAAGGAACUUAUUGUUAAUCAAAAUUUUGAAAAAGUUAAUUUGGAAACUCCCCCUUCAAAUAACGUUCAAAUCGUUUGUUCUAAGAAAUUAAUAUUCUGAGAAAACAAAGUGUUUACACAACAUUUCAUGCUCCAUCUACAAUAACACUGCAUGCUUAAGUUGAUGCCAAACAGUUUAGAUAGCUAGAUGUUAUCCGCAUUCAAAAGCUCAAACCUUAUUCCUGUUGAUGUUAGCGAAUAGACAUGUCCAAACAAGAUGCUGAACUACAUCCUAGAGUGGAAUAAAUCAAUGAAUUGCUGCAAUGUGUUGAGAAUGGAAACUAGCCGUUUUCACCAUUGGGUGAUAUUUAUUACCAUUCCAAUAGGAACGUAUUUCUAUCGCUUGCUAUUUGAUUGAUCAUUAAUGGAUUGCCACUGGGCAGUUUCCUCAGCGCAGUUGGUAUUGUUUAAUAUUUCAAAGUAUUACAACGACGAUGAAUUAUGGCCAAAAGCAGAAACCCAUUUGUUACACAAGCUAUUAAAGAAAAAA